CAACUAGAGGAAACUCUAGCUAAUGCCGGAUGAGACCACGAUCCCGUUCGGGGGUUGCGGCCAAAGAUGGCCUCUACUUGUAAGCUAUCGCUGAGGGAUGGCCUGCGGGCCAUUAGCUUGUUGGUGAGGUAACGGCUCACCAAGGCUGCGAUGGCUAGCUGGUCUGAGAGGAUGACCAGCCACACUGGGACUGAGACACGGCCCAGACUCCUACGGGAGCAGCAGUGGGGAAUAUUGCGCAAUGGGCGAAAGCCUGACGCAGCGACGCCGCGUGGGUGAUGAAGGCCUUCGGGUCGUAAAGCCCUGUCGCAGGGGAAGAAUAAGCAUCGGUAUAAUACGCCGGUGCCCUGACGGCACCCUGCAAGAAAGCACCGGCUAACUCCGUG
rnacentral:rRNA from 1 species